CAGGAUGAAAGUGACUGGUCCUUACCCUCAAGCUGCUUAUCUGAUUUGGGAGUCUGAGACAUUUGGUGCAAGAUGGUGUCAUCCAGCAGCUAGAGGCUAAA